rnacentral:rRNA from 1 species
GUACACUCCUACGGGAGGCAGCAGUGGGGAAUAUUGGACAAUGGGCGCAAGCCUGAUCCAGCCAUGCCGCGUGAGUGAUGAAGGCCCUAGGGUUGUAAAGCUCUUUCACCGGUGAAGAUAAUGACGGUAACCGGAGAAGAAGCCCCGGCUAACUUCGUGCCAGCAGCCGCGGUAAUACGAAGGGGGCUAGCGUUGUUCGGAUUUACUGGGCGUAAAGCGCACGUAGGCGGACUAUUAAGUCAGGGGUGAAAUCCCGGGGCUCAACCCCGGAACUGCCUUUGAUACUGGUAGUCUUGAGUUCGAGAGAGGUGAGUGGAAUUCCGAGUGUAGAGGUGAAAUUCGUAGAUAUUCGGAGGAACACCAGUGGCAAAGGCGGCUCACUGGCUCGAUACUGACGCUGAGGUGCGAAAGCGUGGGGAGCAAACAGGAUUAGAAACCCUGUAGUCCC